rnacentral:rRNA from 1 species
GUCCACGCCGUAAACGAUGGGCACUAGGUGCCGGGAGCGACCCUUCGGUGCCGCAGCUAACGCGUUAAGUGCCCCGCCUGGGGAGUACGGCCGCAAGGCUGAAACUCAAAGGAAUUGACGGGGCCCGCACAAGCGGUGGAGCAUGUGGUUUAAUUCGAAGCAACGCGAAGAACCUUACCUGGGUUUGACAUGCUGGUGAAAAGCCUUGUGAAAAGCAGGGCCCUCCUUCGGGACACCAGCACAGGUGCUGCAAUGGCUGUCGU